rnacentral:lncRNA from 1 species
CGAGCUCUCUAUUUAACUAUUUAAGUCCAGUAUAGCAUUCAAACAAGUUAUUGGGUAAUGGCAAAUACUUGCCUUGCUGUUUGCUAAACCCAUGGGUGCUAGAUUAACAUUAUGCAUUUAUAUAAGAGUGUGGAAUCUGAGUAAUCAUUUUGGGUUACCUUAGUUAAGGCUUGUAUUCUCUAAAUCUAUACUCUGAACUCCUGUGGUAGCACCUUGCCUUUAUUCUUGUUUCAAAGAUGGGUUGUACUCUGUUGUUUACUGUAUUUUUGCUAUGCACAUUCUUCU